AGGACUCAUAGAGGGUGAGAAUCCCGUAUGCGGCCGGCUGCCUACCCCGGGUGAAGCCCCUUCGACGAGUCGAGUUGUUUGGGAAUGCAGCUCUAAAUGGGUGGUAAAUUUCAUCUAAAGCUAAAUACCGGCCAGAGACCGAUAGCGCACAAGUAGAGUGAUCGAAAGAUGAAAAGCACUUUGGAAAGAGAGUUAAACAGCACGUGAAAUUGUUGAAAGGGAAGCGCUUGCCGCCAGACCUGCCCGCGGGCGUUCACCCGCCAUUCGUGGCGGGGCACUCGCCCGCGAUCAAGGCCAGCACGGGUUCGAGCGGUGGGAGAAAGGGCCCGGGAAUGUAGCUCCCUUCGGGGUGCCUUAUAGCCCGGGUCGCCAUGCCGCCCGCCCGGACCGAGGACCGCGCUUCGGCUAGGGUGCUGGCGUAAUGGCGGCAAGCGACCCGUCUUGAAACACGGACCAAGGAGUCUAACAUCUACGCGAGUGUUUGGGUGUCAAACCCGGGCGCGGAAUGAACGUGAACGGAGGUGGGACCCCCGCGAGGGGCGCACCAUCGACCGAUCCAGAUGUCUUCGGAUGGAUUUGAGUACGAGCGUAGCUGUUGGGACCCGAAAGAUGGUGAACUAUGCCUGAAUAGGGUGAAGCCAGAGGAAACUCUGGUGGAGGCUCGCAGCGGUUCUGACGUGCAAAUCGAUCGUCAAAUUUGGGCAUAGGGGCGAAAGACUAAUCGAACCA
rnacentral:rRNA from 1 species